rnacentral:rRNA from 1 species
UACGUAGGGGGCAAGCGUUGUCCGGAUUUAUUGGGCGUAAAGAGCGUGUAGGCGGUUUGGUAGGUCCGCUGUGAAAACUCGAGGCUCAACCUCGAGACGCCGGUGGAAACCAUCAGACUAGAGUCCGGAAGAGGAGUGUGGAAUUCCCGGUGUAGCGGUGAAAUGCGCAGAUAUUGGGAAGAACACCGGUGGCGAAGGCGGCGACCUGGUCCAUUACUGACGCUGAGGCGCGACAGCGUGGGGAGCAAACAGG